UACGGGGGGGGGCAAGCGUUUGUUCGGAAUUACUGGGCGUAAAGGGCUUGUAGGUGGCCAACUAAGUCAGACGUGAAAUCCCUCGGCUUAACCGGGGAACUGCGUCUGAUACUGGAUGGCUUGAGUGUGGGAGAGGGAUGCGGAAUUCCAGGUGUAGCGGUGAAAUGCGUAGAUAUCUGGAGGAACACCGGUGGCGAAGGCGGGUCUCUGGGCCGAUACUGACGCUGAGGAGCGAAAGCGUGGGGAGCGAACAGG
rnacentral:rRNA from 1 species